rnacentral:rRNA from 1 species
UCUCCUGGAAAACGGGUGGUAAUGCCGGAUGCUCCGACUCCUCGCAUGGGGUGUCGGGAAAGAUUUCAUCGGUAUGGGAUGGGGUCGCGUCCUAUCAGGUAGUCGGCGGGGUAACGGCCCACCGAGCCUACGACGGGUAGCCGGCCUGAGAGGGCGACCGGCCACAUUGGGACUGAGAUACGGCCCAGACUCCUACGGGAGGCAGCAGUGGGGAAUAUUGCACAAUGGGCGCAAGCCUGAUGCAGCGACGCCGCGUGCGGGAUGACGGCCUUCGGGUUGUAAACCGCUUUUGAUCGGGAGCAAGCCUUCGGGUGAGUGUACCUUUCGAAUAAGCACCGGCUAACUACGUGCCAGCAGCCGCGGUAAUACGUAGGGUGCAAGCGUUAUCCGGAAUUAUUGGGCGUAAAGGGCUCGUAGGCGGUUCGUCGCGUCCGGUGUGAAAGUCCAUCGCUUAACGGUGGAUCCGCGCCGGGUACGGGCGGGCUUGAGUGCGGUAGGGGAGACUGGAAUUCCCGGUGUAACGGUGGAAUGUGUAGAUAUCGGAAAAGAACACCAAA